rnacentral:rRNA from 1 species
GCAAGUCUGGUGCCAGCAGCCGCGGUAAUUCCAGCUCCAAUAGCGUACGUUAAAGUUGCUGCAGUUAAAAGCUCGUAGUUGAACGUUCGGGUUCCGCGGGACGGGGCCGCCCCGCGAGGGACGGCGCCGCCCCGGGGCUCGUGAUAUCUCAUCUCGCCGCCCGUCGCGAGGCGGACGGAGGGAUGGAUGAGGUUACCUGGAAAAAAUCGGGGCGAUCUAGGCGGGCGAACCUCGCCAACGAACGAUCGGACAUGGGAUAACGGAAGAGGGCGUCGGCUCGACUUCGUCGGUUCCUCGGGCCGAGGCACGUACGGUGAAUAGGGACGGUCGGGGCCGCCCGUACCGGGUCGUGAGAGGUGAAAUUCUAGGAUCGACCCGAGACGAACCGCCGCGAAAGCAUUCGGCAAGGACGCUUUCAUUAAUCAAGAACGAAAGUCGGGGG